rnacentral:rRNA from 1 species
UUGGCGGACGGGUGAGUAACGCGUGGGUAACCUGCCUUGCACUGGGGGAGUAACACUUAGAAAUAGGUGCUAAUACCGCAUAAGCGCACGGUCCUGCAUGGGACAGUGUGAAAAACUCCGGUGGUGCAAGAUGGACCCGCGUCUGAUUAGCUGGUUGGCGGGGUAAAGGCCCACCAAGGCGACGAUCAGUAGCCGGCCUGAGAGGGUGGACGGCACAUUGGGACUGAGACACGGCCCAAACUCCUACGGAAGGCAGCAG